GGCAAAACAUUUUCCAGAUACCAGUUAGCUGAAGCAUGGAGAGGUGCUGUCUUGAUUCUAGUAGCUCGUAUACCUGUAGCAUAAUACUCGCGUGUACUCCAAGAGUACUCACUAGGAGGCUCUUUAACAAUAGAAAUUUCAUGACGUAGGACAUCAAUAAAAUGAUCGACAUCAAAUAUAUCCACGAAUGAACUUGAAUCUUGCCAGACAGGAUUUACUUCAAGGUGUGGGAUUACAAGGGUUGCAUUUAGUAUUUUAGCAACAGCAACAGCAUCACAUAUUCCCAUUCUUUGUUGGUUUAAUCCUCCAUCAAGAAAUACUUGGAUAUACCCACCAGAUUUUUUAGGCAACGAAGGCACAGUUGAUUGUCCAGAGCAAGGUAUCCAUCCUUGGUAAGGCAAAGGGGACCAAAGCUCAGACUGUUGUCGAGUGAGAAUAUGGCGAGUUAAAGCAGCUUUUAGAA
rnacentral:misc_RNA from 1 species